AUCACUUCUCGGCCUUUUGGCUAAGAUCAAGUGUAGUAUCGGAGUGGUCUCAUAUGAAGCCUUAGUGCUGAGGAAGAAUUUUUUUUUUUUUUUGGUACCGGGGAUCGGACUCAGGUCCUUGCACUUGUGCAGCAGGCGGUGAAACCACU
ensembl:snRNA U2 U2 spliceosomal RNA